AGUCCCAGCGUUCAGUCUAAUGCGAUGAUUGUGCACUGGUGAGGUACGAAUGGUACUUCAUCAGGCCUCAGUCAUCUACAUUCGACUGAACUUCGCUUCAUGCAGA
rnacentral:pre_miRNA from 1 species